rnacentral:lncRNA from 1 species
GAGUAUUCUUUCCUAUAUUUUUUCGAUGUAUCCUCCACUAUAACUUUUUAAACUCCAAUAUCAUUUUUUCUCACAAACUAUUCCAUUUUAUCUAUUUUUCAAACUUCAAAUUAUCAAUACAAACAUACUCUGAAUAAAUUCAUAUAACAUACUCAAAAUAAAUUUAGUUCACCAUCAAAUAGAUCCAUACUGCUUAGUAUGACACUUUUCCUUGCCAUUUGCCUCAAC